CAAGAAUGACCUCUAUGCAAAUUCAUUUAAUGUUUUUAAUAAGGUUGAGCUUGUUGGCAUGUGUGGAUAUGAUUCAGCAUUUUACUUGGGCACUGGAUGCUUCCAUAGAAGAGAGAGUCUCUGUGGAAAGAAUUACUCUGAGGAUAAUAAAUUGAGAUUGGACAUUAAAGAUGCUAAAAAGAAUGAUAAAAGGACACUUGAAGAAGCUUCAAAAAUUGUUGCUAGUUGCAGCUAUGAGAAGGACACUCAAUGGGGCAAAGAGAUGGGAUUGGUGUAUGGGUGUCCAGUUGAAGACAAUAUUACUGGCUUUNNNGAAAAUCCAAUGCAGGGGAUGGAAAUCAGUUUAUUAUUGUCCAAAUAAAGAAGCCUUCUUGGGUGUAGCUCCUAAUACCUUAGAAGUGGCCUUGAUUCAACACAGGAG
rnacentral:misc_RNA from 1 species